AUGUCGGAUGACGAUUCGAGGGCCAGCACCAGCUCCUCCUCGUCUUCGUCCUCCAACCAGCAAACUGAGAAAGAAGCAAACACCCCCAAGAAGAAGGAGAGCAAAGUCAGCAUGAGCAAAAACUCCAAACUCCUCUCCACCAGCGCCAAGAGCGCUGGCCCCAAAGGCGACAACAUCUACGAGUGGAGGUCCACCAUCCUCGGGCCCCCAGGCUCCGUGUACGAGGGCGGCGUGUUCUUCCUCGAUAUCACCUUCACACCGGAGUACCCCUUCAAGCCUCCGAAGGUUACAUUUCGGACAAGAAUCUAUCACUGUAAUAUUAACAGUCAAGGAGUUAUUUGCUUGGACAUUUUGAAAGAUAAUUGGAGCCCAGCACUAACCAUUUCUAAAGUCCUUCUUUCUAUCUGCUCACUUCUCACAGACUGUAAUCCUGCCGACCCCUUGGUGGGAAGUAUCGCCACUCAGUAUAUGACCAACAGGGCAGAGCACGACAGGAUGGCCAGACAGUGGACCAAGAGAUACGCCACGUAAACUGGGCUCCACAGUCCUUCACAGCAUUGUCUGUCACAGAGAGAGCUGCUUAUGAUUUUGAAGGGGUGGGGGAGGGUGGG
rnacentral:lncRNA from 1 species